rnacentral:rRNA from 1 species
CAAUAGCGUAUAUUUAAGUUGUUGCAGUUAAAAAGCUCGUAGUUGGAUUUCGGAUGGGACUUGCCGGUCCGUCGUUUCGAUGUGCACUGGCCAGUCCUAUCUUGUUGUCGGGGACUAGCUCCUGGGCUUCACUGUCCGGGACUAGGAGCUGACGAGGUUACUUUGAGUAAAUUAGAGUGUUCAAAGCAAGCCUACGCUCUGAAUACAUUAGCAUGGAAUAACACGAUAGGACUCUGGCUUAUCUUGUUGGUCUGUGAGACCAGAGUAAUGAUUAAGAGGGACAGUCGGGGGCAUUCGUAUUUCAUUGUCAGAGGUGAAAUUCUUGGAUUUACGCAAGACAAACAGCUGCGAAAGCGUCUGCCAAGGAUGUUUUCAUUAA